UGUUCUGUGGCCGAACUGGCGAAGGCAUCACCGAUUACAGACGAAGAUGCGGGUUCGAGUCUCGCUAGAACUG
rnacentral:tRNA from 1 species